UACGUAGGGUGCAAGCGUUAAUCGGAAUUACUGGGCGUAAAGCGUGCGCAGGCGGUUGUGCAAGACCGAUGUGAAAUCCCCGGGCUUAACCUGGGAAUGGCAUUGGUGACUGCACGGCUAGAGUGUGUCAGAGGGGGGUAGAAUUCCACGUGUAGCAGUGAAAUGCGUAGAGAUGUGGAGGAACACCGAUGGCGAAGGCAGCGCCCUGGGAUAACACUGACGCUCAUGCACGAAAGCGUGGGGAGCAAACAGG
rnacentral:rRNA from 1 species